GCCCUCUAGAUCCCUUACCUAUCAGAUCUAAACACUGGUAUGGGUGGUUAUAAAUGGAGGAAAAGUACAAUCAAAACUGACUUAAAUUCUUUUGGGACACAAGAGCUAGUUUCAAGAAACA